rnacentral:rRNA from 1 species
AACGAACGCUGGCGGCAGGCUUAACACAUGCAAGUCGAACGCCCCGCAAGGGGAGUGGCAGACGGGUGAGUAACGCGUGGGAACGUGCCCUUCGCUUCGGAAUAGCCCCGGGAAACUGGGAGUAAUACCGAAUACGCCGUAUUGGGAAAGAUUUAUCGGCGAAGGAUCGGCCCGCGUUGGAUUAGCUAGUUGGCGGUGUAAUGGACCACCAAGGCUAUGAUCCAUAGCUGGUCUGAGAGGAUGCUCAGCCACACUGGGACUGAGACACGGCCCAGACUCCUACGGGAGGCAGCAGUGGGGAAUCUUGGACAAUGGGCGCAAGCCUGAUCCAGCCAUGCCGCGUGAGUGAAGAAGGCCUUAGGGUUGUAAAACUCUUUCGCCGGAGAAGAUAAUGACGGUAUCCGGAGAAGAAGCCCCGGCUAACUUCGUGCCAGCCGCCACGGUAAUAC